AUUGAACGCUGGCGGCAUGCUCUACACAUGCAAGUCGAACGGUAACAGGUUAAGCUGACGAGUGGCGAACGGGUGAGUAAUGCAUCGGAACGUGCCCGGUCGUGGGGGAUAACACUUCGAAAGAAGUGCUAAUACCGCAUACGAUCUGAGGAUGAAAGCGGGGGACCGUAAGGCCUCGCGCGAUCGGAGCGGCCGAUGUCAGAUUAGGUAGUUGGUGGGGUAAAGGCCCACCAAGCCGACGAUCUGUAGCUGGUCUGAGAGGACGACCAGCCACACUGGGACUGAGACACGGCCCAGACUCCUACGGGAGGCAGCAGUGGGGAAUUUUGGACAAGGGGCGCAAGCCUGAUCCAGCAAUGCCGCGUGCAGGAAGAAGGCCUUCGGGUUGUAAACUGCUUUUGUACGGAGCGAAAAGGCUCUCUCUAAUACAGGGGGCUCAUGACGGUACCGUAAGAAUAAGCACCGGCUAACUACGUGCCAGCCGCCGCCGUAA
rnacentral:rRNA from 1 species